GUCCAAUCAGAACGGUUCGCGCCUUACGUACGUUGGCGCGCGUUUAUCAAAAACGCGAUAAUGCUUCCGAUGCGGCAUUCACUGAAUUAUAACAAAAUUACUUAAAACCAUUAGCAAGCGACGAGCGAGGCGAAGUGCAGACCUCCUCCGCGUCGCGAGCACACCCUGCGUGCUAGCUGCUGCGUGCACAACGCGAAAAGGUUCGCGAUAAAACAUACAAUAAAUAAAAGGACAAAAACGGCACCGGGCCGGUUUAGCUCCCGCGCCUUGUUUCAACUUUGAAACGAUAAAUAAAAACAAAAAUUGUUGGCGCGGUCAACUUAAAUCUUCAUAUUGUAAAUAAGCAGUUUCGUUUCACUUGUAACGAAAAUACCAAUAAACAUUUCGAAAUACCGAUCAUGAUACCAGUUGAGUGUAGUUUAAGUUAAGUUCAAAUCUUGCCGAGUAGGAAAGUGAGUGCAGACUACCUGACUACACAUCCUCGACCGUGAAGUUAUUUGCCACUUUCAUUCGAGAUGGCGUACCGUUGGAUUCUGUUGCUUACGGUGGCAUUGCAUAUGGUCAAGAGCAAUGAAGACAAGCCUGUGAACGAUGUGAUACCUCAUAUUUAUGAACCUUCGUGGAUGUACAAAUGCGUGCCGGACCAAGGAUGUGAGAGGACGGAGCACCCUCACCCGCUCGUCAUGGGCAACAUCACUGCACAGAUGUUCUGACAGUCUAGACGUCUGCAGGACUGUUUGUGGUCGCUUCGGAGGACUCUGGCCACGGCCCGUCACUGCUGCCCUGAGCUCACAGACUGUUAGGAUCCAUCCUAAUUAUCUGAGGUAAUUCUCUUAUCCUAUUUAUUAA